UACGUAGGGGACGAGCGUUGUCCGGAAUUACUGGGCGUAAAGGGCGCGCAGGCUGCGUUACAAGUCAGCUGUUAAAUGCAUGGGCUUACCCCAUGAGUGCUGUUGAAACUGUAGUGCUAGAGUACUGUAGAGGCAAGCGGAAUUCCCAGUGUAGCGGUGAAAUGCGUAGAUAUUGGGAGGAACACCGGUGGCGUAGGCGGCUUGCUGGACUGUAACUGACACUGAGGCACGAAAGCGUGGGGAGCAAACAGGAUUAGA
rnacentral:rRNA from 1 species